AUUUGUGGCCAUUCCGUGACAGAUUUAUUGGCUACAACAUUCAUUUAGAAAGGCCAAACUAAUGAGAAGUCGCCAUUGGCCGUGGUAAUCACGUGUCAUUGCAAGCUUUAACCAUCUGUACUUAUUUGGCCUCCUUUCAGGGUAAUGCAUGAUUUCAGACUCAUUUCAUCUCUUGAAUGUUCUUAUGGUUUAGGUCCCAAGCUAGAUUAUAUGAGUAGCAGCCCUAAAAUCCAUCAUCUAGAGUAAAUUCUGUGAUUCUGAACUAUUUUAAAAUUGAUAGUUCAAACAUUUCUUUUUUCAAACAGGAAUUCCAUAGAAGGGUUGCAUGGUUUCUCUGGCCUCUAAUUUUCCUAUCCAUUUCUGCUUGAUCAUUGUGUCUAAUCGUUGCCUUCCUCCACCCACUCACUUCUUUCUUUUUUUCCCAAAUUACUCUUCGCACAGAGAAUAUAAUAGUAAAUACCACUGCAAGGAAUGUUUACAGAUGCAAAUGACUUCUGUUUAGGGAGAUCAUGAUUAAAAUGUGAAAGAAUAUGGCACUAGAAAGUGUAUAACCUUUUUCAUAAUUGAUUAGGGAGAAUAUAUAUAUAUUCAUAUUCUAGCAUUGAGUCAUGAGAGUGUUUUGAAUGUGUGAGUUCUGCGUGUUACAGACAGAGAACCUCCCAUUGAAACCCCUUGGUAUAAUUUUACUUUAAUUUAGAUAUGUUCCCUGUGUCUUCAUUGUGAAGCCGGGAGUGAGGUGAACUAGAAAGCUAAUUUGCUGCUAGACUUCCAUGCAACAGGUGAACCACUCAGGUACACAGUCCAUCUCUCUGGUAACACAGAAGGCCAUCUAAGUUACUUUCAUCUCUCAUAGGUAUUUCAAGGCUAAAAAUAUAUUUCAUUAUUUUAUAUUUUUGUGCUCAGAGAGUAGUCUGUUGGUAAAGUCAGGAGGGGAAAUCUGUAACCACUGGCAGACCUCUUUUGUCUUUCGUUUUUCCUGUGUGUACCCAUGUAGAUCUGUCCUUGACUUCUUGUCUUUAAGAUUAACCUCCUGAGUCCAUCAAAGAGGUUGAGGUUUGCGUCUCUCAUCUUUAAUUCUUUGGGGUGCAGUAGCCACCUGUUUCCCUGUGGAUGGCUCUGGAGUCCUGCCUGGAUCAGGCCCUGGCCAUCCAGGGGACUAAUGAACAUGUCAAGCGCGCCUGGAGUUCUCCAGUCUCUGGCACAGCUGUGGCACUUUCCCCCCCUGCUGCGAGGCACAGCACGCUGGCCAUUUGUUGGCAAGUUCAUAUUUCACACUGCAGGGAAUUGAAAUGAUUGAACAGACAGAAGAAGAGUUUUAUUUGCAGUAGCCUACGUAUCCCCAGACCCUGAUUUGGCAUAAAACAUCUGCUUCAUGAUCUGCUUCAAGGCCAGUUCCUUUCCUCCCACAAAGGUUACGACUUGAGGCAAGCUGUGCUCCCACUGGCGGGGAGAAAUUUGCCCGAAGACUUGAUUUAGUCAGAAUCAAAGCAUCCUGCCACAGAAUUUCUUUUUUCAAUUAUCUCCGAAGAGGCAGCCAGACUUUCAAUGUAUCAGUAUAAUAAAUGUAAUGAAAUGAGGCAGGCCCUCCCUUCCCUGUUGCUAUCAGUGGGAGGUGCCCAUACAGUUUUGCGUCUACCCUCAGAAGCCUGUGACCCACAUAUCAACAACAGCAUAUGAUCAGGAUGGCCUUUGAAUGCCUUUUGUCUCAUCAGCAUGAUAAAUAAGCACAUGGUUAUACCUGCAACACUUAUAUCUUUCAUUGGGAAAAGGCAAACUGGCACGAUGCUGAAUGUAAUCACUACUGUGUCUCAUGGCAAAGACUCAUCACCCAGCCUGUCUUCUGGUAUAGUCUUAAUUACUAAUUAUGCUUACCCGCAUGAUUUUGUUGUGCAUAGUCAUAUAUUUUGUGCAAGACAGCCCUUACUAGCCUUACAGACAUAGACAGAAAAUUAAAUCCUGGCAUUUUAUUAUGCUAGAGCAAUUAGAUGCCAUCCUUGUAAUGGAAACAUGACAUCUUCAUCGCUCUCCUCUAUAUUUCCAUGUUUUAAUGCAGACAUUUACCAGAAUUGGAUAUAAUCUUACACAACACACACACACAUGCACCAGAGAGCACGCACGUAAACACACACACACACACACACACACACACACACACACACACUCCUAAUUGAAUAUCUGCAUAUCUCCAAGGAUCCCUGUGGUUGAAACCGUGUAUUCAUCUUCUUUACUUCUUAGGCCACUUUGGUUUAGAGUAAGAACUGUUGCUUUUAUGAAGUGUCUUUUUCUAUAAAGUCAAAACCUCACAGCAGUGCACAGAAAACCGAUGGUAUAAAGGACUAAGUAGAGUCUUUAAUAGAGAGCGCUGGGUUGUAAGUGUUUUUGUUCCUACAGAGCAGAUAGAUUUGGCUCCAUCUGUUCCAUAUUCAUAACAAAAGGAGCACACUUACAGGAGGGCCACCUUCCCUGGAGCCGCCUGGUAAUGAUCUUUUUCACCAGAAAGACAGGCUGUGAACCCGGUGGCUUGGCCCUGCAAAAAGCAGCUGGCAGGAUGGGCCUUCAGAAUUCAGAUUUCCUUGUAACUCAGGUUGACAUCAAAUUUCUCAAUACAGAAAGUGGAAAAAAAAAAAGUGCCCAUCUCUCAUCGCCCCAGAACAUGGUGGAGCUGGGAAGUUCACGAUGCGCCCAUAUGACCUUCCUUCCCAGAGCCACAGAUUGCAAUUAGAAAGGGUGGAGGCAGCUGCACUUGAAGUGUCUGAGGGGGUCGCGGGGGAGCAGCUUUUCUUCAGUUUUUAAGUUGUUUCUUUUCAGACUUUUUAAUCUUUUCCAAAACCGAGGUUAAUGAAAAGAAAUAUGACUUAUACCACAUAAGGAAAAACCCCUGUUGAGUUUUGUAAUUAACAAACUUCAAAGCCAAUUUCAACCGAGACCUCUUAGAUUAAAAAGAUAAGUUGACCCAGGAGUUUUCUUCCACAAAACAGAGGAAAUGUAAAAAUCUUCUCCAAAUGUCGUAGAGUGCAACAAAUAUUCUUUAUUCAACACGUGGGGCCAACAUUGAAACAGAAAUGAUUCCUUAAGAUAUAAACAUUACACUGGUAUUAAACAGUUGGCUUAAAAAUUAAUAAUACAUAACCAUGGAUGGAUAGAAUACUUGCUUUUCUUUUUUAUGAUUUUUAAAAUUUUUUAGUAUAUACUUGCAUGUUCCUUCCUAUCCCUCCCAUGUCCAGCCCUUCUUCCUCCCAAAUCCAAGUGCCUUCUUGUCUUUCACCACAGUUGUUACACAUACAUAUAAAUUAAUGAACAUAUAAUUAUAUAGAAUACUUGUUUUAGGUUAACCUCAAAAAUAAC
rnacentral:lncRNA from 1 species